UACGUAGGGGGCAAGCGUUGUCCGGAUUUACUGGGCGUAAAGGGCGCGUAGGUGGCGGGACAAGCGUGCGGUGAAAGCCUGGGGCUCAACCCCGGGUCGGCCGUGCGAACUGUUUUGCUUGAGCACUGUAGAGGCAGGCGGAAUUCCGGGUGUAGCGGUGGAAUGCGUAGAGAUCCGGAAGAACACCGGUGGCGAAGGCGGCCUGCUGGGCAGUAGCUGACACUGAGGCGCGACAGCGUGGGGAGCAAACAGG
rnacentral:rRNA from 1 species